AUCCCGCUGUGGUAUAUAAACACGCUGAUUAGGUUUUCAAGUUGUUGUAUAAGAUGUACCUCCCUCAAACCUUGCUAUGAUGUUAGAACAUUACUUAUUUGAUG
ensembl:snoRNA